UAUACAGUACCCAGUUUUUGGAAAAUUAGCCUACUCAUAUAAGAGUUAAUAAAGUAAUAGGACAGAACGCCCCUGUCUUAAAAUAUUCAAACCUUGUUUGGAAAGAAUAUGCAAACAACACACAUUUUCCUAAGAACAUACAGCGCAAUGAAUACAGGCUAAAUGAAAGACAUAAUUGCUAAAUAGUUAGGGCCAAUCAAAUAAUGCAGAAAUGCCUUACACUGAAGAAAUACUGCUCAUCUUGAUCAAAUAUGACCACAAAGUUAUCUUGUCUAAUCCUAGUAUUAUUUUUAAUAUUUAUUUAUAAAUAAAUUUAAUAGUAUUAUUAAAAUGUAACGAU
rnacentral:lncRNA from 1 species